AUUUAAUAUAAAGAUGUAUUUUGACACAUUCUUGCUAUUAUUAUAUCCAACUAAAAACUAAAAUCAAAUUCUAUCUCACAUUCUUACUAUUAUUAUAUCUCACAUCCAUUAUUUCACACCAAAGAGUCCUUUUCCUUCUCUAUCUCUCGUCCAAAUUUGAUUUGGAUUUUAGAACCUUCUUUUUAUCAAAACUAAAAGAUCAAAAAUCUAAAAUUCAAAUUUUUAUGUACACCCCAAG
rnacentral:lncRNA from 1 species